UUCAUUAGCCUAUAACUAAUCAGAACUCCAUUAUGUUUCCAUAAAAAAAGAGAAUACUUUCAAAAUGAGAAGAUCCUGCCAUGGAAAAGCCGACUGGGUGGACAUAAAGUGGAAAGGAAGGGAAAUAACACACAUCAUCAGCUACGGGGUCUUUAAUGCAGGUUUGAUUAGUGAUAUUUUCAAUAAUGAAUGGUUAGCGGUUACGUGACAAAACUCUUAUUUUAUUUUUUGGUGUAGAUGGCCAAGGAAGUUGCACAGGAUUUCCCAACAUCCCCUCCCAAAUUGGUAUAGAACCUUCACAAAAACACAUGGAGCAACUGCGAAAAGAAAUGGCUGAGGAUAUACUAAAAAUGUCUGAGUUCAACAAAGCCAACAACUGCUUCUUGUGUGUCAUUGAAAGAACCUGGAUGUGGCCCAAGGACUGACUGGGUUAGUAACUUAAUUUAACAUGUUCAUAAUCUUUUGACAACAGUGACGGCAUGUAAGGCAUUUUAUGCUAUAACACAGUGGAUGGCUAAUUCGUCAUACUGAAUUGAUAUUUCAUAUUAUUUAUAACGUUUUACGCUUUGUUUUAGAUUGAAUGUUUUUUUCAUGCCAACGGUGGUUCCAUGUGCUGUGCCUAGGAAUGGAGAAAAAAAGAGUUCAGAGUGAAGAACACAAACUGGAAGUGCUGUGAAAAUGUAUGCUAUACCCUAUCCACACUGAAGAGGCUCUGAAAUGUACAUCAACCAGGGAUAAAGAGAAAGUUAACACUGAAAUGUUUUGUACUUAUUUGAAGUAAUGUGUCUGUUGACAUGUUGGGAAAAAAUUAAAGGUCUACAAUUUUUGUUUAAAUUUGUAAAUAUUCCAUUUUUAUUAAUUGAUUUUCUGGCCACCAUUACUGUGGUUACAUGUUCAGUAUAUGUAUUGACCAGCAAACCCACUACAGCCUACCUCACUCUCCAUCCCGCCUUUGGACAAUUAAUAACAUGACUCUCGUACUUUGCCCUUUUACUUUAUGGUUGAUAUUAACGAUGAAAGGAGAUAUGUCUCUCUCCUAUUGUGUACCGCUGUUAAAUACUGUGGCAAUUUUUUUUUUACAAAAUGGGAAAAUAAGUCAUUAGAACUGAUUAUUAUAGAUAAAUAUUAAAGUGUUAACACUGGACUAAACCCCCUAAUUGUCAAACUAAUAUUAACAAUUGUACAAAAAUAUAGAAGAUACAUGACUAGAGGUUAUGCAAUAUG